CGCCCUUCGGGGGAAAGAUUUAUCGGAGAAGGAUUAGCCCGCGUUGGAUUAGGUAGUUGGUGGGGUAAUGGCCUACCAAGCCGACGAUCCAUAGCUGGUUUGAGAGGAUGAUCAGCCACACUGGGACUGAGACACGGCCCAGACUCCCACGGGAGGCAGCAGUGGGGAAUCUUAGACAAUGGGGGCAACCCUGAUCUAGCCAUGCCGCGUGAGUGAUGAAGGCCUUAGGGUCGUAAAGCUCUUUCGCCUGUGAUGAUAAUGACAGUAGCAGGUAAAGAAACCCCGGCUAACUCCGUGCCAGCAGCCGCGGUAAUACGGAGGGGGUUAGCGUUGUUCGGAAUUACUGGGCGUAAAGCGCGCGUAGGCGGAUUAGAAAGUUGGGGGUGAAAUCCCGGGGCUCAACCUCGGAACUGCCUCCAAAACUGCUAGUCUAGAGUUCGAGAGAGGUGAGUGGAAUUCCGAGUGUAGAGGUGAAAUUCGUAGAUAUUCGGAGGAACACCAGUGGCGAAGGCGGCUCACUGGCUCGAUACUGACGCUGAGGUGCGAAAGUGUGGGGAGCAAACAGGAUUAGAUACCCUGGUAGUCCACACCGUAAACGAUGAAUGCCAGUCGUCGGGUAGUAUACUAUUCGGUGACACACCUAACGGAUUAAGCAUUCCGCCUGGGGAGUACGGUCGCAAGAUUAAAACUCAAAGGAAUUGACGGGGGCCCGCACAAGCGGUGGAGCAUGUGGUUUAAUUCGAAGC
rnacentral:rRNA from 1 species